rnacentral:rRNA from 1 species
GAUGAACGCUGGCGGCGUGCCUAACACAUGCAAGUCGAACGAAGCGAUUUAACAGAAGUUUUCGGAUGGAAGUUGAAUUGACUGAGUGGCGGACGGGUGAGUAACGCGUGGGUAACCUGCCUUGUACUGGGGGACAACAGUUAGAAAUGACUGCUAAUACCGCAUAAGCGCACAGUAUCGCAUGAUACAGUGUGAAAAACUCCGGUGGUACAAGAUGGACCCGCGUCUGAUUAGCUAGUUGGUGGGGUAACGGCCUACCAAGGCGACGAUCAGUAGCCGGCCUGAGAGGGUGAACGGCACAUUGGGACUGAGACACGGCCCAA